GGAUCAUCACUUUAUAUGCAAAUGCAAAGUCACAUCUCUUCCACUGAAAAGUAUUUCUUUACCUUGGCAAAAUAAAUUGGCCCAUUACGCACGUGGGGAUUAUACAUAUAUAUUUUUACAACCGUUGGAAAUCCCAUGCACGAGCUUGUUUUGGGCUGCUGCACUUGAUUCGUGUACCGAGGUAAACCGUGUUCGUUUUGAAUUGCUCGAGCUAUUUGGAAAGGGACCCUCAGAGAAAAGGUGUCGAUGGCUACGUUCCGAACUAUUUUAUUGGAAUUGGGGUCCUCGCUAUCAUAACAAUAACAGCUGCACCAGUUACUCUUUGCGCCACUAGUUUUCUCAAACCUUGCAUGCCACCUUCUUUCUUUACCAUGACAACAUUACCCUGCAAGGAUUGGGACGACAUACGCGGAAAUUUCUUGGCAAAGACGUUACAAGCAGUGUUCGCUGCUUACACCGGUCUAGUUAUUUUUAGCACGUUAACAUUUGGCCUAUUUGUACUUCUAUAUUAUC